rnacentral:tRNA from 1 species
AAUGAUAUGCCUGAUAAAAAGGAUUAUUUUGAUAGAAUAAAUCAUACAUUUUAUGUUUUCAUUU